UACGGAGGGUGCGAGCGUUGUCCGGAAUCAUUGGGCGUAAAGGGCGCGUAGGUGGCGGGACAAGCGUGCGGUGAAAUCCCCAGGCUCAACCUGGGAACUGCGUCUGAUACUGGAUGGCUUGAAUCCGGGAGAGGGAUGCAGAAUUCCAGGUGUAGCGGUGAAAUGCGUAGAUAUCUGGAGGAAUACCGGUGGCGAAGGCGGCAUCCUGGACCGGCAUUGACGCUGAGGAGCGAAAGCUAGGGGAGCAAACGGG
rnacentral:rRNA from 1 species